GACGAACGCUGGCGGCGUGCUUAACACAUGCAAGUCGAACGGAAAGGCCCUGCUUGUGUGGGGUGCUCGAGGGGCGAACGGGUGAGUAACACGUGAGUAACCUGCCCUUGACUUUGGGAUAACUUCAGGAAACUGGGGCUAAUACCGGAUAGGAGCUCCUGCUGCAUGGUGGGGGUUGGAAAGUUUCGGCGGUUGGGGAUGGACUCGCGGCUUAUCAGCUUGUUGGUGGGGUAGUGGCUUACCAAGGCUUUGACGGGUAGCCGGCCUGAGAGGGUGACCGGCCACAUUGGGACUGAGAGACGGCCCAGACUCCUACGGGAGGCAGCAGUGGGGAAUAUUGCACAAUGGGCGGAAGCCUGAUGCAGCAACGCCGCGUGCGGGAUGACGGCCUUCGGGUUGUAAACCGCUUUCGCCUGUGACGAAGCGUGAGUGACGGUAAUGGGUAAAGAAGCACCGGCUAACUACGUG
rnacentral:rRNA from 1 species